AGUGAACGCUGGCGGCAGGCCUAACACAUGCAAGUCGAGCGGCAGCGGGUUCCCGCGAGGGGAUGCCGGCGAGCGGCGGACGGGUGAGGAACACAUCGGAAUCUGCCUGGUUGUGGGGGAUAACGUAGGGAAACUUACGCUAAUACCGCAUGCGACCCUGAGUCGACGGACUGGGGGUGAAAGUGAGGGACCUUCGGGCCUCACGCGACCAGAUGAGCCGAUGUCGGAUUAGCUAGUUGGCGGGGUAACGGCCCGCCAAGGCGACGAUCCGUAGCUGGUCUGA
rnacentral:rRNA from 1 species